UAUGGCGGCGGCGAAGACCGUGAACCCCAAGGCCAAGGUGGCCCGAGCGCAGGCGGCGCUGGCGUUCAACAUCAGCGCGGCGCGGGGUCUGCAGGACGUGCUGAGGACCAACCUGGGGCCCAAAGGGACCAUAAAGAUCCUUGUUUCUGGCGCUGAAGACAUCAAGCUUACUAAAGACACAGGACAAAUUCAACACCUAACAGCUUCCUUAAUAGCAAAGGUAGCAACAGCCCAGGAUGAUAUAAUUGAUGAUGGUACGACUUCCAAUGUCCUAAUCAUUGGAGAGCUGCGAAACAGGUGGAUCUCUACAUUUCUGAAUGUCGGUUUUGACAUGAUUCAGAGUGGUUUGCGCAGUGAACACCCAAGUGUGCUUUAUAGUUCCCUUGGCUUUGACCCUGUGCUAGAGCAUUGCCUGCUCUUCUCCUCUGCAUUGAAAGGAAUAUUUAUCCUUUUAAAUGUAUUCAGAAAGCCAGCACAUUAUAUUACCUCGUGUUCAAAGGGCCUUCAUCCCAGAAUAAUCACUGAAGGAUUUGAAGCUGUGAAGGAAAAGGCCCUUCAUUUUUUGGAAGAAGUCAAAGUAAGCAGAGAGAUGGACAAGGAAACACUUAAAGAUGUGGCCAGGGCAUCUCUUUGUAGUAAAGUUCAUGCUGAACUUGCAGAUGUCUUAACAGAGGCUGUAGUGGGCUCCAUUUUGGCCAUUAAAAGAAAAGAUGAACCUACUGAUCUCUUCAUGAUUUUGUGAUCAUUGACAAGAAACAUAAAUUUGAAACUGAUACAAGAGAAGUGAAUUCUGGCUUUUUUUUUUUACAAGAGUGCAGAAGAGAGAAAAACUCAUAAAAGCUGAAAGAAAAUUCAUUGAAGAUAGAGUUAAAACAAAUAAUAGAACUGAAAAGGAAAGUCUGUGGUGAUUCAGAUAAAGGAUUUAUUAAUCAAAAGGGAAUUGACCCCUUUUCCUUAGAUGCUCUUUCAAAAGAAGGCAUAGUCGCUCUUCACAGAGCUAAAAGGAGGAAUAUGGAGAGGCUGACUCUUGCUUGUGGUGGGGUGGCCCUGAAUUCUUUUGAGGACCUAAGUCCUGAUUGCUUGGGACAUGCAGGACUUGUAUAUGAGUAUACAUUGGGAGAAGUUCACCUUUAUUGAGAAGUGUAACAACCCUCGUUCUGUCACAUUAUUGAUCAAAGGACCAAAUAAGCCCACACUUAGAUCAAAGAUGCAGUAGGGGAUGGCUUGAGGGCUGUCAAAAAUGCUAUUGAUGAUGGUAAGAUCCUCACCAUAUUUCAAUUCUAUUAAAUUGUUUUGCUGGUCUGAAAAGCAUGGCUGAAUACUGUGUUCUUUUAUCAGUAGUUUACACAGCCAGACACCAUGCAAAAGCAGUCUUCCCUUUAGAAUGACUGAUGGUAUGCUAAGGUUUUUCAUAGCAUAUCAUUAUUAAAGGUGAAUACAAAUAAAUGAACUAAUACUGAUCUGUUGAAAGAGCUGCCAGUGGCCAGUGAAGCCAUUCUGGUUGGACCAUUCUCCUAUUUGAUGUUAGUCGCUUGUAUUGUGGCUUUCAAAUGCAGUACUUAAAUUGAUGUGGUCAUAGUGAAUUUGUAAGGAAUUAAU